UCCUACGGGAGGCAGCAGUGGGGAAUUUUGGACAAUGGGCGCAAGCCUGAUCCAGCAAUGCCGCGUGCAGGAAGAAGGCCUUCGGGUUGUAAAGUUCUUUUGUCCGGAAAGAAAUGGUUCUUUCUAAUACGGGGGGGGGAUGACGGUACCGGAAGAAUAAGCACCGGCUAACUACGUGCCAGCAGCCGCGGUAAUACGUAGGGUGCGAGCGUUAAUCGGAAUUACUGGGCGUAAAGCGUGCGCAGGCGGUUUUAUAAGACAGAUGUGAAAUCCCCGGGCUCAACCUGGGAAUUGCAUUUGUGACUGCAGGGCUAGAGUACGGUAGAGGGGGAUGGAAUUCCGCGUGUAGCAGUGAAAUGCGUAGAUAUGCGGAGGAACACCGAUGGCGAAGGCAAUCCCCUGGACCUGCACUGACGCUCAUGCACGAAAGCGUGGGGAGCAAACAGGAUUAGAUACCCUGGUAGUCCACGCCCUAAACGAUGUCAACUGGUUGUUGGAUGCAUUAUCUCAGUAACGCAGCUAACGCGUGAAGUGACCGCCU
rnacentral:rRNA from 1 species